GAAAGGAAGAUUAAUACCCGAUAGUAUCCAUUAGCGGCAUCGCCUAUGGAUUAAAGAUUUAUCGGUAACGGAUGAGGAUGCGUACGAUUAGCUGGUUGGCGGGUAACGGCCCACCAAGGCGACGAUCGUUAGGGGUUCUGAGAGGAAGGUCCCCCACACUGGAACUGAGACACGGUCCAGACUCCUACGGGAGGCAGCAGUGAGGAAUAUUGGUCAAUGGGCGCGAGCCUGAACCAGCCAAGUAGCGUGAAGGAUGACUGCCCUACGGGUUGUAAACUUCUUUUGUUUGGGAAUAAAUGAUACUACGUGUAGUAUUUUGCAUGUACCUUACGAAUAAGCAUCGGCUAAUUCCGUG
rnacentral:rRNA from 1 species